UCGAGUUUGAUCAUGGCUCAGAUUGAACGCUGGCGGCAGGCCUAACACAUGCAAGUCGAGCGGCAGCACGAGAAAGCUUGCUUUCUUGGUGGCGAGCGGCGGACGGGUGAGUAAUACAUGGGAAUCUGCCCGAUAGUGGGGGACAACGUUUCGAAAGGAACGCUAAUACCGCAUACGUCCUACGGGAGAAAGCAGGCUUAGGCUUGCGCUAUCGGAUGAGCCCAUGUCGGAUUAGCUUGUUGGUGAGGUAAUGGCUCACCAAGGCGACGAUCCGUAACUGGUCUGAGAGGAUGAUCAGUCACACCGGAACUGAGACACGGUCCGGACUCCUACGGGAGGCAGCAGUGGGGAAUAUUGGACAAUGGGGGCAACCCUGAUCCAGCCAUGCCGCGUGUGUGAAGAAGGCCUUCGGGUUGUAAAGCACUUUCAGCGAGGAGGAAAGCAGUAAGGUUAAUACCCUUAUUGUGUGACGUACUCGCAGAAGAGACCG
rnacentral:rRNA from 1 species